AAUGAUAAUAAUAAUAAUAUAAAACAAUGGCAACUCUUCCUGCACAUGCAUGCUCUGGACUUGUCUGUCUCCUUAAAGGACAGACGCACGGUGCAGAGGACGCUUCACAUCUUCACAACUACCAGGUUCACUAUUCACAAAUAACUUGGUGAACUUGGAGGUGUUUCAUUUCUCCACUUUCAAAAACGUUUCCAGUGACAGACGAAGCUCGACUGUACGUGUCUAUUUCAAACUGCACCGAAGUCUGACGUCUGGCCUAAAACUGGCAGAAUGUAAUUAAUUUAUUUUUAAUAUCUGACAUUUGUCUCACUCACUAUUUCUGAAGAAAAAAAAAACACGCUCCACGUUUAUUUUACAUGACUCGUUUUUCAGUGAAAUGUUUGAUUAAAUCUGCUGGUAAAUGUUUGGAUUAUCUCCACAUGAGAGCAUUUUGAUCUAGAUCUAAAAAUAUGAAUAAAAAACAAAUGAUUUUUAUUUCAUUCGUCCCUGUUUUUUUUUAAACCACCUCAUCUCAUCUGUCUGGAAUCUGUGAACCUGAUGCUUUUUUCUUUGGACUCGAACACGCGGCCUGGUGGCUCUAUUGUGACAAAAAAGGUCGUUAAAUGAAACACAAGCAAAAGGUUUAAUUAACAAGAGCAGAGAGAAAAGCCCCGAGUCCAUAAAUUCUGUCUCUCCUACACAAAGAUUCAAAUGAGGAUGAGUGAACAGCGCGCUUGCUCAGCCUCCUCAGCCUUCAUUACAAACUCCACAGUCUGUGUUCAGGAGCACACACGCAGUUGUUUUAAAAGAUAAAGUGACAGACGUCAUGUGAUUUGGAAACCUUUCCAAGAAAGAAGUGAUGCUGACUAAUUACGCAAAGAUGCUUCUUCUUUUUUUUUUUUUUUUUUUUUUUUUUUUUUUUGGUGAGAUUAAACCCACCAAUAAAAAGAGCUUACAUUAGUUUUAUUAAAUCAUCUUACAAACCAAAACCUUUCCGGAGCCCUUCCUAUUAAAACUCACGUACACAUCAUUAAAAAGCAAAGAAAAAAACGACAUCUCACUGGAAGAAUUAGUUUGAUUCGUCUGUAACAAAAACACCACACACCCUUUAGCACUCUGAUCAUCAUUUACGAGCUUGCUUAUUUUUCUUUUUUAAAGGUGUGUGUGUGUGUGUCCUUUACAUUUUGGAAGAUAAGUCAUAGAAACGUGGGCAACACAGCAGAAGAUGAUGAGCAGACUAUCACAGCUCCCAUUGGGCAACCUAUAAGUAACGUAACAUUCUAAUAUUCCAGAACAAGUAAUGCGUAAAUAUUACUUUUUUCUUCUUCUUCUUUUUUUUUAGAGUGAGGAGCCCAGCAUAGGUGGGGUAAGGGACUCCUGUGGCUUUGAAUAUCUUUACGUGGAGCCAGCCUGACCAGUGGUGUUGAGCCACGAGCAGUUUAAGAGCAAGGUUCAAUGACGAGGGGAGUAGCCUAUAGGGACUGGAUCUGCUUUGGCUGAUAGCAGAAAGUUUGCCCUCCUGGGAAAGAAAAAAAAAAUCGUCCCAUCAACUUGAUAGAAAACGUCGAAUGUAACCAAGCAUCGACUCAGAGCUGCGGCACCACUGGAUUUUGUUAAUUGGAGUGAUGGAGAAAGGCAGCUGUGGAGAACUGCAGGCAGCAGGAAGUAGAGGUCAACACGAGAUCUCUGGGAUUUUGCUCGCCACUGGACCCACAUGAGGUUGGAUGGCGACCGCGUAGAUCCUGACCCAGAAACAAAUGGCAUAAUGAAAGGAGUCUCCAGGCUAAAGACGUCAAGGAUAUUCAGCUGAUCUCAGAGGUAAUGAGUCCUCCUGAUCAACUAGAGUGGAGCAGGAAUUUCAUCAAGACAAGAGCUUCAAGAUGUCCACUCAUAAAUCUCACAAGCUCUCUGCUCUUCACAUUAAUCUUGGACCUGCACUUUAUUUCUGCCAUCAUCUUCUAUAAGAUUGUUGACCUUGCACUAAUAUACCAUUUUUUGUAUUUUUAUUUUUUACAUUUUUAUAUGGGAGAAUAUGGGAUAAAAGACUGGAAAUAUUCCACACAUUCAAACUUGUAUUUAUUUCAUGUAAUUGAUUGAGACUAACAAGUAUAUUUUCUGACAGCUAAAUAAAGUUUUUUUUCCCCUUUAA